ACAAACAACAUCGUAAUAUGUGCUCGGAGUAUAGAGAUAAUUAAA
rnacentral:guide_RNA from 1 species